rnacentral:lncRNA from 1 species
CGCACUCUCCUCACAUUCUCCAGUUACCGCUUCACUCUCCCACUCACAACCUCCUCCUCUUCACCGGCUAUUCCCUGUUCCGGUCACCAUGGCCUUCCUUGCAGAGGUGCAAUGGUUCAAUGUAUCCAGUCGCACUGAAACUCUCUCGUAAAGUCAAGUGAUUGUCUAGAUCGACGGAGGAGAGCGAGCCGGAGGCUCAGGCAAGCGACGGUGAUGAUGAACCCAGAGAUGAUCUUAAAGUUGGGUCCCACCAGAAGUCUGUUGAUGAGGUUCGUCAGGAAUUUUUGGGCGGUUCGCAGAGGGUUGUCAACUCUUCGACUGAUUACCCGUCUAUUGGAAUUCGUGAGCCUGUUUAUGAGGUUGCUUUAUUUUAAAUUUGGCCUAAUUCUUUAUUAGUAAUAUUAUUUUCUAAUUUGGUAUGGUUUAUUGUGUUCGUGAGAGUUAAUUAUGUCCCUACAAAUUAGAGAUAUAUUUUGGCAAAAAACACUUUUUUAUCAAUGUAGUUAUAGUGUUUUAAGCAAUUAAUCACUGUGUUUUUAAAAUAUUCAAUUAUCUCACUGUGUUUUUUAAAAAUAUUCAAUCAGGCCAUUCCGUCUAUUUUUGUAGACAGACGUUAACAAAUCUGCAUUUGUUUCCUAUGUGUCUUUUUUAAAAAAAAUAAACAAUUACGUGGUAUAUCAUGUGGCAAUAAAAUAAUUUUUUAAUGGAUUUUCUUUAUAAUUUUUUCUUCUCAAACAAAAAAAUAAAAUAAUAAAAUCAUUAUGUGGUAAAAAAAAUAAUUAAAAUAAUAAUAUAAUUAAAAUAAAUAUUUUAAUUUAUGUUUUUAUAAUUUUUUCUUUUCCUUUUAUCUUUUCCCUUCUUGUAAUAAUUAUUUUUAUUUUAAAAAUUAAUUCCAAAUAAUACAAAAAAUAUAUCAAAAUUUUUGUAUCAAUGAGAUCUAUUACAACAUUACAUUAAUUUCAACAAAAGUUAAAAAUAAAAAAUCAUUAAUUACGUGGCAAAAAAUAAUUAAAAUAAUAAUAAAAUUCGAUACAAUUAACAAAAAUUAAUUAAACAAAUGACAAAAAUUAAAAUUAAUUAUACAAUCAAAAUCAUAUUAUUUUUUUAUAAUUUAUUCUUUUCCUUUAUCAUUUUUCCUUUCUUUUAAUUAUUUUAAUUCUAAAUAAUACAAAUAAUCAAAAUGUUCAUCUCCCACGGACUCAAUCAUCCCCCAUUUUUUCCGGCCAAAAUCAAAUCUGUAAAAUUAUUUUUAUUUUAAAAAUAAAUAUUAUAAUAUUUAUAAUAGGUAUUUAAUUUAGCUUCCAAUCACUCUCUUUGGUUCUUUUUGGUGAUUGGAUUUGUUAAUUGUUUUAAAAUCCUACUAUAAAACUUGCCUUGCUACUAUAACAACAAGUGUUCACUGUAAGUAAUUAAAAUUUUAAUUUUAUGAAUUGUUCACCCAAGUUAUUUUCCGAAUCAGUAAAUUUAUGGAGUAACUUAUAAUUAAAAUCAGUAAAUAAUAAUUAUUCACGUCUCUUCUCAAAAUAGUAUAAAAUAUAUUAAAGAACGUUAAAAAAAAAAUCAUCAUUCCGUAAACAAAAUAUUUGGUCAAUCCAUUUGUCCCUCCCUCCCUUGCGAUUAUUAAAAUUCCGAAAGAGAAAAACAAAAAGAAAAGAAAUUAAUUUUGCCACGUAAUUAAUGAUUUUUUAUUUUUGUUGAAAUUAAUAUAAUGUUGUAAUAGAUCUCAUUGAUACAAAAUUUUUGAUAUAUUAUUUGUAUUAUUUGGAAUUAAUUUUUAAAAUAAAAAUAAUUAUUAAAAGAAAGGAAAAGAUAAAAGGAAAAGAACAAAUUAUAAAAACAUAAAUUAAAAUAUUUAUUUUAAUUAUAUAAUUAUUUUAAUUUUUUUUUACCACAUAAUGAUUUUAUUAUUUUAUUUUUUUGUUUGAGAAGAAAAAAUUAUAAAGAAAAUCCAUUAAAAAAUUAUUUUGUUACCACAUAAGGAUAUACCACGUAAUUGUUUAUUUUUUUUUAAAAAAAGACACGUAGGAAACAAAUGCAGAUUUGUUAACGUCCGUCUACAAAAAUAGACGGAAUGACCUGAUUGAAUAUUUUUAAAAAGCACAGUGGGAUAAUUGAAUAUUUUAAAAACACAUUGGCUAAUUGCUUAAAACACUAUAACCACAGCGGUGAAAAAAAUUCUUUUUGCCGAUAUAUUUUUAAAACAAUCUCUUUUAUUUAUUUAUAUAUAUAUAUAUAUUGGUCCGGAUCUUAAGCUUACCCUAACAUACCUUGUUCACCCCCUUUAGCAACGGACCGGGUGAUAUGUUGUCCGUCGCUAAAAGCUAAGACGACGGUUCUAUUUAUAGCGAUGAACCGAAUCGUCGCCCGGUCCGUAGGGAGAUGAGCAAUGUAUGUUAGAUAAGGGGUGAGCUUAAGAUCCGGAUCGAAUCAACUAUUCGUAUAUUUUUUGAUAGAAUUAUAAUGGUAGCAACGGUAGAAUGAUGAUAUAAUGACAUGUUAGAAAGUUCAUGUCGGUCGUUAGUUUAACAAAAUAAAUCUCUAAUUUUGGAAGAAGUGAGCAAAAUUUAUUUAGGUCAUUAACUCGAAAAUUUAUUUUUUUGAACGUCAAAUUAAUUUUUGGGAAAAUACAUUUUGGCUUGGUUUGGCAGUAUUUAAAUAUUUAGAGCAAGUGUAAUUGUAAGACCCUAACUUUUUAUAAAUAAAAUUGAAUUUCCUAUAUUUAUUAUUUUGAAGUAAAAAGGUGUUAAUUGAUAUAAUACUUUGGUUAUGGGUGAAAUGUGCAAAUUUUAUAAAAUAAGCAAGUGGUUAUAAAAUAAUCAUUGUUGUCGGAGAAUAUUCGUUUGGUCGUGGAAUAUUCUUUUUGUCGGGAAUAUUCGUACAACGGCGCAGUCAAUUGUGGGCCCCAUAAUGGAAUAACGGUCGGAUGAAGAAAACGAUAAAUUUGAGUUUUUAUAAAUAACGACAUAAUUUUUACCGUUAACACUGUUGGAUUACUUGGUGGUUAAAAUACAGUAAUACGCGUGGUUGUACAGUAGCACACGGUAUUGCACAGUAUUGUUGAAUUAUUGAUUCUUACGUAAGAAGGCACUACUCAAUAAUUGCUACAGUAGUUACUAUUCAAUAUUUUAUAAUUGCUGCGUUGAUAUUUAUAUUAUUGUUGUUCAAUAAUUGUCACGGCACAGUAUUUCCCAUUAUCAGAUCAAUAAUUCAUAUUAUUUGAAUAAUAUUAUUAGAUAACAUUAUUGGCAAUGUCUAGAAAGUUCUGUCAAGGAGAGGUUAGGUCAUCUAAUUGCGCGCCAGUAAGGAGAAAUCCUUAUUGGAAAGCCCCCUCUUUCCUGGGAACGGUCUGGUUGUCAUAAUUGUGAUUCUGUAAUAUUAUUUGUGAAUAAUUAAUUAUUGAUUUAUAUGAUAAGGAAAUAUUUAUUUGAUAUGGAUAUAAAUGAUGGAUUUAUUUAUUUUAUGUGGUUACAAAUGAUGGAUUUAUUUAUUUUAUGUGGAUAUAAAUGAAAGAAUUUUAGCAUGAAAUAAUUGUUGAAAGUUUGACAUAAUUUUUGUGGAAUUACAAUUAUUUCUCCAAUAGAAUAUUCAUUCAAAAUAUUAUUAUAAUAUUUUAUAAUUGGUUAAAUAAUAAUAUUAUUGUUAUAUAUAUAUAUAUAUAUUUAUGCAUGUGAUUAAAGGGGUGGGUGGGAGAUUUUUGUUGCUGCAAAGUUUGAUAAAAAAUGGGUGGGCCUUAACCUUUGAAAUGGUAAGGCAUUAAAUUGGCAGAUUGUUAUUAGGUGGCCCCUCAUUUGGCAAAAAAUUCUAGAGGCGUGCAUUCAUUUAUUCAAGUUGGCAAAGUAUGACCAAUUAGGUGGCUUUCAUUUGUCAAAAGUGUGUUAUUCAAUUCUUUAUGUUUUGGCAGAAUGUGGUUUUCUAAAUUGAUGAGCAGAAUGAAUACUUUCGCCUGCAACAAAUUUUUUUUCAUAUUGAUGGGCCCUCACCUAAUGAAAAUAAUGAAAUUAGGCUUAUGAGUUAGGCGCAUCAGUUUGUUUUUCCUCCGUAAACUAUAAAUAGGGGGUAACCCCUCCUUCCUCAACCACACCUUGAUAAUCAGAAAAAUUUUCCUAUAGUAUUGUGAGUAUUUUCUUGAGUAUAAGAAUACUUUGAGCGUAGUUUUUCUGCAAGAUUUUCUCAGAAUAAUAUCCGAUAUUUCAGUCAAAUCCAAGCUUCUACUAAGGUAAAGGAUAUUAUUUUAUUGCAAUACUCGGGAGAAAAAUAUUAUUUUCUUUCAUACUCCAUAUUAUGUAAACGAUAUUAUUUCAUCUCGUAUUCCUAAAUUUGAACUUACUAUGGUAAGUAUUGCUUCUAUAAUUCCUGAAAUGAUUAGAAAUUUUGUUUCAUCUAAUAUCAUUUCAUAGGAAUAUUGGUCUGAACUUUUUAUCAAAUUUGGAACUUGUCAUUACUGGUACUGUUCACGGGUACUGUUCAUGGGUACUGUUCACGGGUAUUGUUCACGGGUACUGUUCAAAAAAAUAAAUAAAUUAAUAAUAAUAUUUUUUUUUCUUCCAAAUUAUUUGUUGUGACCCUUAUUCCUAAAAGUUUAAUCCAUGUUUUGAUUUUUCAUCAUCCUCAGUCCUAAAUGGUGAUAUAAAUGAAUAUCUUUGGCCUGUAGUGCAAAGAUGAAUGAUUAACUAAUGAAUAUCUUUGGCCCGUAGUGCAAAGAUGAACAAGUGUUGAGAUGAACAUGACCAACUGGUGAUACAAAUGAAUAUCUUUGGCCUGUAGUGCAAAGAUGAUUAAAGAUGUAUAUUGAUUAUUAUUACAGGGAUAAAAUAUUGAUGAUGGACUUUUAAACCUUAGAAGACAGUAGAAUUCUUUCUCUACGUGACUCUUCUAAUGGAUUGAUGUUCCGCUGCAUUUAUUGAUCUAAAAACUUGUUGUCUAUUAUAUUUUAUCAGAUUUUUCCCUGUUGAAGACUAACGAUAAUUUGUUGUAUAUUAUCUUAGUCAUAAUAUUCUUUACUGGGCUAGUUGAGCUCACCCUUUCUUUUUUGUUCCAUUUUUCUUCUCAGGAGGUGAGAACAUAGCAGGAUCGAGUCGGGGUAUGGAGUGAUGGUUCUAGGAAGAUGUUUUAGCAGUCCUCUCUAUUUCUAUAAAAUAGUGUUUGAAUAAUUGUAAUGAGGACUUAUUUGCGUGUGGAUAUUGUCUAGAAGACAAUAUUUGUAUUUUAAACUCACAGUAUGUAUUAUCGUAUUUCACACGACAUUUGUAUUAUUGAAGUUGUAGUUUGCUUUAUGUACCAUGUAUUUGGCGACUCAGAAUGGGUGUUGUAUACCUAUUUUGGGGGCGUCACAGUAAUAGUAGAAAAACGAA